CAGGAAGAUACAUCUGGAUCUCUACAAAUGAACAUCUCCAGUGCUGAGUAUUGAGAUCCAUCCUCACGUGCAGUGUUGAAUAAUUUAUCAUUACAUCAUACUCUGGUGUCAUGGAAUUCACUUCAAAAGCCACUCGAAUUUGGAAUGUUCAGAUAGAAGCUGAGAUUUCAUCUCCAGCAAACCUGCACCAGAAAUACUAAAAGUUCUUCAAAUUGAGAGAAGCAAUUACAUCUAAAACUUUGACUGCAGGAAACAAAUAAAAGAGAGAGAGAGAGACAGCCAGCAAGAGAAGGAACACAAGCAGGGGGA